GUCCUCUGAUUGGUCGGUUGUCAGGCGCUGUGCACGCCGAUUGGGCAAAGCACUCAGCCUGAGCGCCCUCCUCCUCUGCACAGAGGACGCUUCCCUCCCAGCGCUGCUGCGCCGGAGUCCACCCGCCAGCCUUCGCUGCAGCCGGGUCCUUGAUUCUGCAGCUGAACCUGAAAGUGUGAGCAGCGAUCUCGGCGGAGAAGUCGCCGUUGAUCUCGCGGACUAGGGAACAAGCUGAUUCUCACUCUUACGCAUCGUGUUGUUCUCGAGAAGUGUCCUUUCCGGACCUGGCUUCUGAAAACUUCAACUAACAAAAAUAGAAUGAUGGAUGUGGGAACUCCGAACAGAACUCCUUCUCCUCCCAAGGAACAGCACUUGCAUCCAGCCUGAGUCUGGCUUCUCUUCGCCCUGUUUAAAGGGACUUCCUUGACUCAGGACUUGUUAGCUUUGCCAAGCAAGCCUGGAGGGUGGCUGGCUCUCCCUGAAGGAACUGUCAUAAUGCUGACUGUCGGCUUCCUUAAGCAUCCUGAUUACUUCUUCUAGCGGUCUUGUCUCCUCUGCUUGCAAGAACCUGGAGGAUCACUUCACUCACUGACCCUUAAGGUGGAAGGAGUCAUAAUCGUUGUGGACCCACAUUUUGUCAGAUUCAGAGUCUGACCCCUGCAACAGACAGCCGGUUUCAGAAGGCUAUCCUGCUUGGAGCACCAUGGGAAAGGAAACAAAACAGGAUCUCAAUCUGAGGCCAUCCCUCCGCAGCACGCUUCUCAGCAGGAGUUAGCAGCUGUGGCGACCCUGGACGCCUAAGGUGAACUCUGUUCCAGCUGCUUCUGCAUAAAGCUCCCCAUUGGCCUUCCACCGGAAGCUAACUCGAUAUCCCUGAGCACACAUUACAGAACUGCCUCCAUCCCACCCCCACGGCACCCACCACUCCUGCUUCUGCUUUGUAAAUCCUGCAAAAAUGAUUUGAGAAACCGAGGACCUUUGGGUGGAAAACGGGUUUUCAGAAUGAAGGUUCAAGUUUGAUGGUAGGAAAUGUACCCAAAACUAUUUCACCAAAGAACGGGUCAUAACGAGCUGUGUAGACCAGUCAGGGUUCUGAAAGCCCCCGAUACUACAAAUCAUUUCUGAGGACCCUGAGAAAUUUUGCACAAUUCAUUCUCUGUGCCUCUGUUUCCUCAUUUAUAGAAGCCAGGCUCUUGACAACAUCAAGUUUAUAAUGGCAAAAACAAAAUAAUUGAAACUCAAAAGGUAUUGUGAAUAUAAGGUGUCCAGGUCUCCCUUGUCUAUUUUUCUUUUCUUUUCUUUUCUUUUCUUUUUUUUUAUUUGAGUCAGGAGCAUCACAUCCUAAGUAACAAGUACAUAAGGUCAAAGAUGGCAGUCUCCGAAGAGCCACCGAUGGAGUUACAGGUCCUGUUUUGUUAAUAUGCAAGCGACCCUUGUCUUUCAAAGGGAGCCACCGCCAUCCCAUGCCUUCUCAAUCAAACAAACAUGCAGAGACUUACUUUUCUUUGGCCAACAUGGGGCCAGUCUUUCAAGUGUUUAGAGGAAUUGCUUGUCCCUGCAAAGCAAGAAAGACACGCCCUCCUGGCUUUGAAGAGCAGGUGAGUUGCAGCAAGGGGACAUCUCAGAACUCAAAAUUUCCCUUCCUGAGAAACUGUUACUGAGGCAGAAAGGGACAGUCAGGCUUCCAUUCCUAUAACUUACUUUCCAACUGCAAUCAUCAGCUGGGCUGGUUUUUGUUUGGUUGGUUGUCAUUAUUUGUUGUUGUUUUUUGUUUUGUUUGGGGUUUUUUUUGGUAUUGGGGGUUUGGGGGGAGUUGUUUGUUUGUUUGGUUGGUUGGUUUUUCAAGACAGGGUUUCUCUGUGGCUUUGGAGGCUGUCCUGGAACUAGCUCUGUAGACCAGACUGGUCUUGAACUCACAGAGAUCCGCCUGCCUCUGCCUCCCGAGUGCUGGGACUAACGGCGUGCGCCACCACCGCCAGGCUCUGUUUGUUGUUUUUGUUUCAUUCUCUUACUUAAGGAAAAAUUUAACAAUACACAAAAGUAGGUCAAAUUGCAUAAGAUCUACUAAAAUAAUCUAAUAGAAUAAUACAUGUGAUGACCCACAAGAAUAUAUAGCAUCUAUGCAGACAUUAGGCAGACCAGCCAUUGCCAACAGUUACUGUGCACAAGCUUGAGAGAUCUAUGCCAAUCCUGCCCAUUACUGAGUUGGUAAGAUUUAAUUUUACCCAAUGAAUGGAAUUUUGGAGGCCAGGGCCCCGGUGCACUGUAUACUUCACAAUCAUGUGUUGAAUCAUUUGAACAGAAUAUUCAUCAACUGAGCACCCAGCUUGAUGCCAGAAGGAUGAGGGACAGAGACACAGGUGGCCAGUGUGAAUAGUAGGUCUACAUUCUAGUCCAGAAACUUGAUUAUUCAAUACUUGAUCUGCUAAAAUGAACUUGGGAGUUGUUCUCUAAAACAGUCUUGACUCCCUCAAAUAGUAGGAUCGCUGUACUAAAAUUACUAUUUAACAGAGGGGGAAAAAAAUCUCAGGUCUAGCUCUAAAACUCUGAACAUGUCGGCUCCUCCCAAUCAGAAACUCUGUCUCUGUAAGACCUCUUCAAUUCUGUCUCGUUCAUAUCAACAACCUUCCAGGGUCUCUAAUAAACAGCGAGUUAUUGGGUUUUGUUGCUUUUUUUGUUCUCUUAGGUUUUUUUUUCAAGCCCAGUUUGCACAAUACUCGAGUACAUCUGUCCCCUUAACUUUCAUCCACUUAAGCGUUGCAGAGUCACUGAACUUGGCUUAUCAGUUCCAAAAAGAAUCAAAUCUGGCUUCAGUGUGGAGUCUAGCCCAAUACAUGAAAGCACAGAAUCAAUUCUCCAGUUGUGGUGUUCUCUGUAGUAUUCCCAGAUGUCUUCGCAUUGUUUGGCAAAUCUAUAAUGUAAUAAAUAUUGAUGGUCCCCUCACAUGUGGUGUUAAAAUUUGCUCGUCCAAAAACGGAUCUUCUUUUCUGCAAUCUUUUUAAAAAAACAUAUCAC
rnacentral:lncRNA from 1 species